rnacentral:rRNA from 1 species
GGUAAUACGGAGGGUGCGAGCGUUAAUCGGAAUUACUGGGCGUAAAGCGCAUGCAGGCGGCCUGUUAAGUCAGAUGUGAAAGACCCGGGGCGUUAACCUCGGAAUUGCAUUUGAAACUGGCAGGCUAGAGUCUUGUAGAGGGGGGUAGGAAUUUCAGGUGUAGCGGUGAAAUGCGUAGAGAUCUGAAGGAAUACCAGUGGCGAAGGCGGCCCCCUCGGACAAAGACUGACGCUCAGAUGCGAAAGCGUGGGGAGCAAACAGGAUUAGAUACCCUGGUAG